rnacentral:rRNA from 1 species
UUAUUGGCGUAAUGAAAGUAAAGCAAAUUUUUAAUUUGUGAUAUAUGAUUAUCUUUCCUUUUACGGAAGAUAAGCAGUAUAGUCCCAUCUGAUAUAUUUAUAUAUGGGUGGAGAUAGAGCAUAUGCGAUGAGACCCGAAAGAUGGUGAACUAUGCCUGAGCAGGAUGAAGUCAGAGGAAACUCUGAUGGAAGUCCGAAGCGGUUCUGACGUGCAAAUCGAUCGUCUGACUUGGGUAUAGGGGCGAAAGACUAAUCGAACCAUCUAGUAUCUGGUUCCUUCCGA